UGAUAGGUAGGGGAGCGUUCCGCUCUCGGGUGAAGUUUUCACGUAAGUGGGGAUGGACGAAGCGGAAGUGAGAAUGUCGGCUUGAGUAACGAAAACAUUGGUGAGAAUCCAAUGCCCCGAAAACCUAAGGGUUCCUCCACUAGGUUCGUCCAUGGGGGGUUAGUCAGGACCUAAGACUAGGCCAAAAGGCGUCGUCGAUGGAAAACAGGUUAAUAUUCCUGUACUAAUUAAAUUAGGAUCUGAGGGACGAAGGAGGCUAAGCUAGAACUGUUUUUGGAUUGCAGUGGAAGCGUUUAGACUUUGAGAGAUAGAACAAAAGCUAUCUUGAGUGGAGACGUGAUCCCUAUUUGAUCCUUCGCCGUCUUGUAGCUAGCGAUAUCAUACUUCCAAGAAAAGCUCAUACAUCUAAUAAUUUAAUUACCUGUACCUGAAACCGACACAGGUAGGUUGGUAGAGAAUACCAAGGGGCGCGAGAGAACUCUCUCUAAGGAACUCGGCAAACUGGCCCCGUAACUUCGGAAGAAGGGGCGCCCUUUGCAAAAAGGGUCGCAGUGACCAGGCCCAGGCGACUGUUUACCAAAAACACAGGUCUCCGCAAAGUCGUAAGACAAUAUAUGGGGGCUGACGCCUGCCCAGUGCCGGAAGGUUAAGGAAGUUGGUUAUUUCGUAAGAAAAAAGCUGACGACCGAAGCCCCGGUGAACGGCGGUCGUAACUAUAACGAUCCUAAGGUAGCGAAAUUCAUUGUCGAGUAAGUUUCGACCUGCACGAAAGGCGUAACGAUCUGGGCGCUGUCUCGGAGAGAGGCUCGGUGAAAUAGACUUGUCCCGUGAAGAUGCGGACUACCUACACCUGGACAGAAAGACCCUAUGAAGCUUGACUGUAUCUUGGAAUUGGGUUUGGGCUUUUCUUGCGCAGCCUAGGUGGGAGGCGUUGAAGAUUACCUUCCGGGGUAAUCAGAGCCAUCAUUGAGAGACCACUCUGGAAGAGCUAGAAUCCUAAUGGGGAUCCUUGAAUCAGGACCCUUGACAGUUUCAGGUGGGCAGUUUAUUUGGGGCGAAUGCCUCCUAAAAGGUAACGGAGGCGUGCAAAGGUUCCCUCAGUCUGGACGGAAAUCAGACAUUGAGUGUAAAGGCAAAAGGGAGCUUGACUGCAAGACCUACAAGUCGAGCAGGGGCGAAAGCCGGCCUUAGUGAUCCGACGGUGCCGUGUGGAAGGGCCGUCGCUCAACGGAUAAAAGUUACUCUAGGGAUAACAGGCUGAUCUUCCCCAAGAGUUCACAUCGACGGGAAGGUUUGGCACC
rnacentral:rRNA from 1 species